rnacentral:rRNA from 1 species
CAGCAGCCGCGGGAAUACAGAGGGUGCGAGCGUUAAUCGGAUUUACUGGGCGUAAAGCGUGCGUAGGCGGCUAAUUGAGUCGGAUGUGAAAUCCCCGAGCUUAACUUGGGAAUUGCAUUCGAUACUGGUUAGCUAGAGUGUGGGAGAGGAUGGUAGAAUUCCAGGUGUAGCGGUGAAAUGCGUAGAGAUCUGGAGGAAUACCGAUGGCGAAGGCAGCCAUCUGGCCUAACACUGACGCUGAGGUACGAAAGCAUGGGGAGCAAACAGGAUUAGAGACCCCGGUAGUCCUGUCUCUUAUACA